UAAUACGGGAUAAGAAAGACAGAUCGCAUGAUCAGCUUUUAAAAAGGUACGGCGUAAGCUGUCGCUAUGGGAUGGCCCCGCCGGUGCAUUAGCUAGUUGGUAAGGUAAAAGGACGUUACCAAGGCGAUGAUGCAUAGCCGAGUUGAGAGACUGAUCGGCCACAUUGGGACUGAGACACGGCCCAAACUCCUACGGGAGGCAGCAGUAGGGAAUCUUCCACAAUGGACGCAAGUCUGAUGGAGCAACGCCGCGUGAGUGAAGAAGGUUUUCGGUAUCGUAAAGCUCUGUUGUUGGUGAAGAAGGAUAGAGGUAGUAACUGGCCUUUAUUUGACGGUAAUCAACCAGAAAGUCACGGGCUAACUACGUGCCAGCAGCCGCGGUAAAU
rnacentral:rRNA from 1 species